AAAUAGCUGGCCCAGAAGGCUAUCGGCCAGGUGGGUGGUGCCAUUGCCUGCGUGGACUGUGUAGUCCAUGCACACGAACCAGCCCCAGGCAGCACCAUAGGCAGCGGCGGAACAUGGCAGGACCGUAAGAUGCAACCUCACUGAAGCGUCUUUCUCCAACAUUAGGUGACAUCGCAAUGCAAUCAGGCCUACGUCACCACCCGUGGUGUCGUACCGGCACAGGUGUAGACGGCACCAGCAAGUCUCAAAGUCUCCCGACGGCAUCACGCCACGCCGCAUCUUGCUCUGCCCAUUUAGAAGAUCACGCGAUGGGAGGUGUAGCCGACAUCGGCAGCACAUCUGGCAAGCGCUAUUCACCAGCACCACCAGCACCACCAGCACCACCAGCACCACCAGCACCAC
rnacentral:lncRNA from 1 species